AGUGUAAGCGUAGGUAGUUACAGGUUUACUAAGGUAAAGCUGAGGAAAGUCCGGGCUCUAUAUUAUACUACUAGAGAUGGCUAAUCUCCAAUCCAGACAACUGGUAGGCCAGUGCCACAGAAAUAUACCACCAUAUAAUGGUAAGGGUGCAAAGGUAAAUUAAAAGUUUACCAGAAAUAUUUUAAUAGUAUUUGCUUGGUAAACCCCUCUACAGAGUAAAGCAACCAAUACUACUACAAUUUAUAUAAGGUAGUAUAGUCAUUACUGCAUAAAGAUUUAAGUAAUUAAGUCUUUAGAUGAACAACUACCCUUUUAUCUUUAGUGAAUUAAAGAACAGCACCCGGCGUAUGACUUACAUUAAAA
rnacentral:RNase_P_RNA from 1 species